GCCGCGAUAACCUGAUCGUGCAAAGGUAGCAUAAUAAUUAGUUUCUUAAUUGGGAACUGGAAUGAAAGGUCGAACGAGAAAAAUACUGUCUCAAUUUUAUUUUAAUUAGAAUUUUAUUUUUAAGUUAAAAAGCUUAAAUAUUUUUAAAAGACGAGAAGACCCUAUAGAGUUUUAUAUUUGUUAAUAUAUUUUUUAGUUUAAGAAUUUAAUUUUAGAAUUUAUUAAUUAGUAUUUGGUUGGGGUGAUUGGAAAAUUUAAUAAACUUUUUUUAAUUUAAACCAUUGAUAUAUGAUUAAUUGAUCCAUUUUUUAUGAUUAUAAGAUUAAAUUACCUUAGGGAAAAAA
rnacentral:rRNA from 1 species